AGAAUUUAGCAGAGAUGCUUUAGUGCCUUCGGGAACUCUGAGACAGGUGCUGCAUGGCUGUCGUCAGCUCGUGUUGUGAAAUGUUGGGUUAAGUCCCGNAACGAGCGCAACCCUUAUCCUUGUGCCAGCACGUAAUGGUGGGAACUCAAAGGAGACUGCCGGUGAUAAACCGGAGGAAGGUGGGGAUGACGUCAAGUCAUCAUGGCCCUUACGAGUAGGGCUACACACGUGCUACAAUGGCGCAUACAAAGAGAAGCGACCUCGCGAGAGCAAGCGGACCUCAUAAAGUGCGUCGUAGUCCGGAUUGGAGUCUGCAACUCGACUCCAUGAAGUCGGAAUCGCUAGUAAUCGUAAAUCAGAAUGUUACGGUGAAUACGUUCCCGGGCCUUGUACACACCGCCCGUCACACCAUGGGAGUGGGUUGCAAAAGAAGUAGAUAGCUUAACCUUCGGGAGGGCGUUUACCACUUUGUGAUUCAUGACUGGGGUGAAGUCGUAACAAGGUAGGCGUAGUGCU
rnacentral:rRNA from 1 species